UACGGGGGGGGCAAGCGUUGUUCGGAAUUACUGGGCGUAAAGGGCUCGUAGGUGGCCAACUAAGUCGGACGUGAAAUCCCUCGGCUUAACCGGGGAACUGCGUCUGAUACUGGAUGGCUUGAGUUCGGGAGAGGGAUGCGGAAUUCCAGGUGUAGCGGUGAAAUGCGUAGAUAUCUGGAGGAACACCGGUGGCGAAGGCGGCAUCCUGGACCGACACUGACGCUGAGGAGCGAAAGCGUGGGGAGCAAACGGG
rnacentral:rRNA from 1 species